rnacentral:lncRNA from 1 species
CAAUUUGAGAAAGUGAAGAUGACCUCUUCACGAAAGACCUUUGCUCAGUACCAGCAUCGGCACAAAUCUGUACAGGAAAUGUCAAGUAGCCGGCGGCACACAGUAUCAAGCAGCACCAGGGAAGCUAAGUGCAAUGAAAUGACCUCCAAAGAAAGUCAAACGGAAGCCUCUCAAAUACAAGAGGUUUCUCAUCGUGAGCAAGUUACUCAUGAGAUAAAAAUGGCUUCUACAUUCACUCAGCACACUGAUGAAACAGGUAAGAAGUGGCAUGAGAAUAAAGGCUCACGAAUGAGCAAUGGCAAAUGUCUUUACUUACACAGAUG